AGUGAACGCUGGCGGCGUGCUUAACACAUGCAAGUCGAACGAGAACGGAUUAUAGCUUGCUAUAAUUGUCAGCUAAGUGGCGCACGGGUGAGUAAUGUAUAGGUAAUAUGCCUCUUACUAAGGGAUAACAAAUGGAAACGUUUGCUAAUACCUUAUACUCCUUAUUAACAGAAGUUAAUAAGGGACAGAUUUAUUGGUAAGAGAUUAGCCUGUAUUGUAUCAGUUAGUUGGUGGGGUAAUGGCUUACCAAUACUAUGACACAUAACUGGUUUGAGAGGAAGAUCAGUCACACUGGAACUGAGACACGGUCCAGACUCCUACGGGAGGCAGCAGUGGGGAAUAUUGCACAAUGGACGAAAGUCUGAUGCAGCAACGCCGCGUGGAGGAUGACACAUUUCGGUGCGUAAACUCCUUUUAUAUGAGAAGAUAAUGACGGUAUUAUAUGAAUAAGCACCGGCUAACUCCGUGCCAGCCGCCGCCGUAA
rnacentral:rRNA from 1 species